GUAGUAGACUGAGUUUUUGGUGAAUUAGCAGGGAAUUAGAAGGAAUUAGCCUCCACUAGGCUGAAUCGUUAAUUCUUUUGAAAUCUCGCCUUUUUAAAAAUUUCACAUGACAGAGAGCAGAUCCAGGCUUGACUCUUACUUGGAAAAACUGCCCUAACCUGAAAAAACUGUAGGGUAGAAUUCAAGGUUUAAAAAUNGAGCUCAAGGAGAGGAGGACUGAAUAAGGGUCACGUCUAAGGCUACAUUGGGUCAUGGUAGUAGUAGACUGAGUUUUUGGUGAAUUAGCAGGGAAUUAGAAGGAAUUAGCCUCCACUAGGCUGAAUCGUUAAUUCUUUUGAAAUCUCGCCUUCUUAAAAAUUUCACAUGACAGAGAGCAGAUCCAGGCUUGACUCUUACUUGGAAAAACUGCCCUAACCUGAAAAAACAGUAGGGUAGAAUUCAAGGUUUAAAAAUAAUGGCCAAAAGACUGCAUUUCACUCAAGAUUGCUACAGGCCAUGGACUGUCCUAUAAGUGGAGACUGAGUCAUUUUUUUUUAACAACUUGACAGUGAAGCUUACAUCAGAAAAUAGCCUAGAAAGGCUGAAGUCAUGAAGAGCAGGAAAGAAUAAAGCAAGAAGAAAAGGUCA
rnacentral:lncRNA from 1 species